UGGGCAACCUGCCCCAGACUCAGGGAUAACCCCGGGAAACCGGGGCUAAUACCCGAUACUCCGAUCGAACCACAUGGCUCGAUCGGGAAAGCUCCGACGGUCUGGGAUGGGCCCGCGGCCUAUCAGCUAGUUGGUGUGGGUAAUGGCCCACCAAGGCGACGACGGGUAGCCGGCCUGAGAGGGUGACCGGCCACACUGGGACUGAGACACGGCCCAGACUCCUACGGGAG
rnacentral:rRNA from 1 species